AUUGAACGCUGGCGGCAGGCUUAACACAUGCAAGUCGAGCGGGGGGAGGUAGCUUGCUACCGGACCUAGCGGCGGACGGGUGAGUAAUGCAUAGGAGUCUGCCUAUUAGUGGGGGACAACAUCUCGAAAGGGAUGCUAAUACCGCAUACGUCCUACGGGAGAAAGCAGGGGAUCUUCGGACCUUGCGCUAAUAGAUGAGCCUAAGUCGGAUUAGCUAGUUGGUGGGGUAAAGGCCUACCAAGGCGACGAUCUGUAGCGGGUCUGAGAGGAUGAUCCGCCACACUGGGACUGAGACACGGCCCAGACUCCUACGGGAGGCAGCAGUGGGGAAUAUUGGACAAUGGGGGGAACCCUGAUCCAGCCAUGCCGCGUGUGUGAAGAAGGCCUUAUGGUUGUAAAGCACUUUAAGCGAGGAGGAGGCUACUUUAGUUAAUACCUAGAGAUAGUGGACGUUACUCGCAGAAUAAGCACCGGCUAACUCUGUGCCAGCCGCCGCGGUAA
rnacentral:rRNA from 1 species